CAGGCAGGGAGUAGGAGGGAGAAAGUCUGAACACUGGCUAGAAGCGGCCCUUCUGCUCCCACAGGCACAGCCACAGUACAGCACGGAACAAAUGAUUCAAACUCUGCUCCACAGCCUUCACCUGUGAACCCCGAUGUGUGCGGUGGAAACCGCUCCAAUGCUACCCGCCCUCGUAUCUCAGGCUCCUCCAAAUGGCCGCAGAAACGUACUACUGUCUACAGAUCCCACAGCAGGAGUGAGAUUCGGAGUUCUACAGUGACCUCGGAAGGUGCCUGGACUGGAGACACUCAAGGAAUGCAUUUGCCGACUCGCUCUGCCACGUUUCAUGUACCUGUGUAAUUAAGUACUGACGUUUCUACGGG
ensembl:lncRNA LOC108352413 uncharacterized LOC108352413